rnacentral:rRNA from 1 species
CCUACGGGCGGCUGCAGUGGGGAAUUUUGGACAAUGGGGGCAACCCUGAUCCAGCCAUGCCGCGUGAGUGAAGAAGGCCUUCGGGUUGUAAAGCUCUUUCGGCCGGGAAGAAAUCGGCGACUCUAACAUAGUCGCUGGAUGACGGUACCGGACUAAGAAGCACCGGCUAACUACGUGCCAGCAGCCGCGGUAAUACGUAGGGUGCGAGCGUUAAUCGGAAUUACUGGGCGUAAAGCGUGCGCAGGCGGUUUUGUAAGACAGAUGUGAAAUCCCCGGGCUUAACCUGGGAACUGCGUUUGUGACUGCAAGGCUAGAGUACGGCAGAGGGGGGUGGAAUUCCUGGUGUAGCAGUGAAAUGCGUAGAUAUCAGGAGGAACACCGAUGGCGAAGGCAGCCCCCUGGGCCUGUACUGACGCUCAUGCACGAAAGCGUGGGGAGCAAACAGGAUUAGAUACCCGGGUAGUC